GGGAUGCCAGGAGACUCUCCUGCCUCUCUGGGUGUAAAACUGGGCUGUAUUCCUGGUAACCACUGCUCUCUACCCCCUAAGUGCCCAGAUCAGACCUGGAUGCUGGGCUGUUAUCAAUUGUCAACGUACGUUUUCAUCUGCUGCCUCUCAGGAGCAUCUUCUGGAUUCAGCCUUCUCCAUCCUGGGGCAUGAAACAACUUGAAUGAAUGAAAUUAUGCAUGUGUUUGUCCAGGGUCUAAAAAUUAGCCAAAGAAGAUGGAUUUGUCAUCAAAUAAUGAAUCCAGCUAGCAGAGUCCCAGCCCAGGCUCUCUGCUCUGCCCAGAGUUGAAGUUGGUGUCAGGAGACCAGUCAAAAGUAGCACAGUGGAACCCUUGAAAUCUUUGAUGCUGGAAGCUACAGAAAACUAUAAACCAUCCAGCUGGAAUCCUGCCCACCCACCUCCGCCUGUCUACAAGAGAGCAGGUCACCCUGGUCCUCCACGGGCACUCAUUUGAAGGAGGUGAAGCAUGAUGCUACUGCAUAUUUUAUAAAAGGUUCACUGCUGUCUGAAGGGAAGUCUUCCUGAGGAAAGUGUUUGACAACAUGUUCAUUAGAAAAGGUCUCAUCAGAUUUAUUUGGAAUGAAAGCAAUGUUGGAGUGCAGAAACAGAGACUUCCCAGCUUGCAGAAAUAAACAGUGUGGCUUGUAUCAGAAACAGUGCGUCCAGCAGGAACAGGGAAGUAAUCGUCCCAUUGUACUUGGUGCUCGUGAGGCUGCAUCUCAAAUUCUGUGUUCGUGUCAAGAAAGACAUUGAGUUGCUGGAGCCUGUCCAGAGGAAGGUUUUGGUGUUUCAAAGAAGCCACUAAGGAGGUGGGUGCUGAUGAUCUCGUUCUUGAAGAUGGGGAUUAAAAGACACCGUGGAACAUGGUAUUUUUAGAAAGGACAGAAGUACAUCUGGGUACAAGGAGAAAAAAAACCUGAAGAGGAAUAAACCCUGAACCACCCGCUAUUUCCAGGAGCAGUCGCAUGAAACUGGGAGAGCCACAGGGAAUGCACUGGUGACCAGGACCACUGGUGGUGGAUGGAAGGACAGAAGCCCUCUCAUGGAUGUUUGGGUUUUAUUAUUCAUCAGGUUGGCUGGCUCUGUGGGUGGGUUUUUUCGUUCUUUUGGGGUAUUUUUAGGGUUUUGGUGGUAUUUAUUUAUUGGUUUUGUAUAAAACCUGUAUUUCUCUACUCAGUAAAUCACCCUUCUUUGUUUAACUAUUAUUACAGGAAGAGAGGGAAAAGUGAGGAUGUGGCAGCUCCCAGACAAGUUUAACUCUUCCCUUUCCCAGACAAUUAAAGGCAGAGGUUCUUUUCCUGUUAAAACAGGGGCAUCCCACCAGCACAGCAAGGAGAGGGUGCUUGAAAGAUGCUGUGGCUGCUGCCCCCCGGCUUGGUGGAGAUGUGCUCUCUAAGGAAAACCGCCAGGGUGGCCACGAGGUUUGCCAGUCUAUAGCACGUCGCCUUGUCACUAGUGACCAACACAUUUCCUUCUGAGACCAAAGUGAGGGCGAAGAAAAUAAGAAGGCAGCAGCUCACAUCAGUGCUCCAUACGCACUAAAUGACUUAGUAAAAACCAUGAGACCUCGGGCAUUUACUGGGAUAGUCAUGGGUGAAAUUCUCAUCUCAAAAUGCAAAGUCUCAUCAGAAACAGCUACUUAAAGGAGGAGUAACAAAGCAGAGACUAACGCAGAGUCUUACUGAGUUGUUCUUUCACUGCUGAGGCUCUGCCAAGCCCUGUUUGCCCCGUGGUGGCUCACGGCAGCCAUCAGGUGACCAUGGGCAUCAUCUUCUAAAGAAACGAGAUGAGUGAUGGUGACA